UACGAAGGGGGGCUAGCGUUGUUCGGAAUUACUGGGCGUAAAGCGCGCGCAGGCGGUCCUUCAAGUCAGAGGUGAAAGCCCAGAGCUCAACUCUGGAACGGCCUUUGAAACUAGAGGACUUUGGGUACGGGAGAGGUGAGUGGAAUUCCGAGUGUAGAGGUGAAAUUCGUAGAUAUUCGGAAGAACACCAGUGGCGAAAGGCGGCUCACUGGCCCGUUACCGACGC
rnacentral:rRNA from 1 species